rnacentral:misc_RNA from 1 species
GAUGAAGAACGUAGCGGAAUGCGAUAAGUAAUGCGAAUUGCAGAAUUCCAGUGAGUCAUCGAAUCUUUGAACGCACAUUGCGCCCUUUGGUAUUCCGAAGGGCAUGCCUGUUCGAGCGUCAUUAUCACCCCUCAAGCCCUCGGCUUGGUGUUGGACGGUUUGGUGGAGGCCCCCUCGGGGGCUCCUGCCCCUCCCAAAGACAAUGACGGCGGCCUCGUUGGACCCCCGGUACACUGAGUUCUUCACGGGACACGUAUCGGACACAUGGGUUUACGGGACACGGUCUGCCUCCCCUCAGGGAGAAUCUUUCUAAGGUUGACCUCGGAUCAGGUAGGGAUACCCGCUGAACUUAAGCAUAUCAAUAAGCGGAGGA